GAGAGUAGAAAGCUUUUGAGUAUUCGGUCAUUAGGAGGAGGAAAAUUGAAGGUAAGUUCUUGGUACCUUGCUUCUAUUUUGAGGUUCAUGAGUUCUUCUUGAUUCUACCUUAACUCUUGAAGUAUAUUUUGAUUUUUAGUUGUGUUGUGAGCAUUUAGUCAUGAAUUAAAAUGAACGAAAUGGUUGUUGUUUCAUGUUCUUUUGAUGAAAAACGGAAGAUAGGUGAAGUUGAGCCAAACAAAUGAGCAUGCACGUGCCUUAGAUGCUAAAGGGAAAAAAUCGGCUAACAUGUUGUGCUUUAAAAUGAUGAAAUGGAGAUUAUACUUAAGUAAAAUCAUAGAUAUGUGAUGAUUGAUUGGUGAUAUGCAUGUUUAAAUAACAAGCAUGCAAGUUAGGUGUGAAAGAGUGAUUUGGUAAUAAAUCUGCUUGGGACAGCAGCAGUAACGUGACUUUGCAAAAUCACCAUAAAUUGUGGGAGAUGAGUUAGAAGCUGAAUAAAAUAUGUAAUUAAAGACUAAUGAGUCUAGUUUCAAAUGGAAUAAACGAGAACAUAUUUUGAAUUCUGUACAAUGAGAAAUGUGAUUCGUAAUGAAGAGUGGUCAGAUUAGUCAAACAGUGAAACAUGGGAAACUUUGAGAAAAAUCUGGUAUUGAUUGGCUGAAUCAAAAUUUCUGAAAAUUUUAUAGAUAGAAGAUAUAUGAGUCUAUUUUCAGGGAAAAUUAACGGCACUUAAUUUGGAGUUUCGUAGCUCCAGUUAUAAAUGAUUUAGUGACUAUUGCUCAGGAAGACAGCUUGCAGUGAAAUUAUGAUUAUGUGGUAAACAUUGACAAAAAUUUGUUAAUGAGUUGCUUAUUGAUUUCUUAUAAGCUUACUAUGAUCUGUAGGUGUGGUUGGCCGAAUAUUGUAAGGGGUUAAUACGUAGUUUGUAUUUGAAUAGUUAGAUUAACGUGUUAGUAAUCCAAUUGUAGGCGGUUCAUGUGUGGAUCUCGUCAGCAUAUCGUCGCAAACAGGUGUGUAACUGACACCCUCUCAUAGACUAGAUUGGCAAAAGCCGAAAAGCCGAAAUGCCGAAAAGUCGGUAUUUUGGGAAUUUGCGAGAGUGCUAAUGCUCGCAAGAUAGUUGGGUUUGUAUAUUUGGUAAUCUAAAGUAAUUAACCGCAGUACGCGCGAUUUCGUACAUUUUGAUAAUUUGGGCUUAAUGGGCCAAAGAUUGGGUUCAUGGGCCAACGGGCCCAAUUCGGUAAGUAUGCGCGGUAAGUGUUCUGAUAGUACGUAAAUAGUUAGGAUAUGCAUGAAAACCCUGAAAGUAGCUAAAUUACUAUAAUACCCCUAUGUAUGGAAAAUUACUGUUAUACCCCUAGGUGCAAAAUUACCGUUAUACCCGUAGGGUUAAUUUUGACUGAAAAGCAUAGCGAUCUGAUUCUAUAUGAUGUAUGCUAUGAUUAUAUAUCUGUUGCAUGGGGACAUGGGAUAUAUUAUGGAGGAAGCGUUCUGGUGGCUCUGCCACAAAUAUCUGAUCUGGUGGCUCUGCCACAUAUAUCUGUUCUGGUGGCUCUGCCACGAUUAUCUGUAUCUGGUGACUCUGUCACAUUAUCUGUUCUGGCAGCCAUGCUGCAAAUUCUGUGGUGUGUAGCGGUUGGAUGGGUCGAGUUGUCUCCCCACACGGUGUAAGGUUGGUACGGGGGUGUAUACGGUUGGAUAUGGUUGGGUUUCUGCAUAAACAUGUAAUAUUUGUUCUGUUCUGUUAUGGGCCUAUGGGCUUUAUUUUGAAUUCUGUUCUAGGCUAAGGCCAACUUAUUCUAUUUCUGUGGUUUGAGCUGAUAUAGGCUAUGAUUGGGUUAAUUUACACACUGAGUUUCCCCAAACUCACCCCUUUUAUUUUCAUCAACGCAGGUAAUCCCCAACCAUAGUGGGCUUGGAGCUGUGAGGGAAUUCGGAGUGGCCACCCGUUCUGAAAGUUUGAUUUUCUUCUGGUGAACUGGACAUCCUUUUAAUUACGUUUGAGGUUUUGGGCUUUUAAAU
rnacentral:lncRNA from 1 species